GCCAGAAUUGUCUCUUCUAAGUUCAGAAAGGCCACAUUUUGCCGUUCUACUCUAAAGCAGCUACAUUUCUCUACAGAGCACAGAACUGUGUGAAACUGAUGGCUUUAUAAAAAGAAGAGAGACCCGAGCUGAUAUGUUUUCACCCCCAUAUCUUGUGAAGCCCUGAGCUGUCUCCUAACUCUACAGAGAGCUCCCACCAGCAAGAAGGACCUCAUUGAAUGCAGCCUCUCAACCCUGGACUUCUCAGCCUCCAUAACUGCAACCAGCACUUAUUCCACCAUUUUCUGAGGAAAAACAUAGGACUAUGACACAAAGUCUCACCCUUGUCUCACGUGGAGGGGAGUAAGCCAGUGCUAUUCCCUAUCUGAGCUUGGAAUGUGCAAGACAUCAAAGGGAUUGAUGUAUGCACUCUGGCAGAAGGGGAAGAGAUGAGAUGGAAAAGGAUGAGAAUGGAAAAGAAGAGGAAGGAAAACGGAGCAAAAGGAAUUGCUUCUCACAUGAGUACAUACAAAAGAAGAAAAGGACUCAUCUGAGGGGAGGGGUCUGGGGCAAUUUUGAGAACGCUCAACCAUGCUGACUGAAAGAGCAAUGUCAAACAUCAACAACUUUUUUGUUUCUGUAAGCAAACUAUAUCAAGACAAAAUCCAAUACACUUAAAAGUGUUAAGCCCUAAAUCUUUAAUGACAAUGAAACCAUGUGUCACAGCACAAAUAACAUUUUUACUUGCUUAUUUUCAUUGCCUUUGUCUCUAGUUCUCCAACAUGUAAACAUGAAGAGAUUUUAUUAUUCAGGCAAGUAUGUAAAGACCUACGAACUCUUCUUUAUGGAGUUCACCAAAUAUCACUGAGAGUUUGUUGCCAUUACAUUGAAAGUAACACUGGGUAGAUUUGUGUAUUUAUGGUAUAACAGGUUUAGCAAGCAGUUUGAGCUUGAUGGAUAAAGACACGAAAUGGUUUUAUUUUAUUUUUUCCAUUUACUACAUUCAACCUUGCACUGUUAAAUUUCCUUGUUCUCUAUCAUGACAAUAUCUCAGGCACAUUUCAUAAUUUUGCAAUUACUUCUGUUUAUUAAAAAUAUUUUAAGUAUAAACACUUAUUUGUAUAUCUAAUUUAAAUCCAACUUACUGUUCUCCACUCUCACCCCUAAAA